GCGGUGUAAAAUGAGCUUGCGUCCUAUUAGCUAGUUGGUGAGGUAAUGGCUCACCAAGGCUACGAUGGGUAGGGGUUCUUAGUGGAAGGUCCCCCACACUGGCACUGAGAUACGGGCCAGACUCCUACGGGAGGCAGCAGUAGGGAAUAUUGGUCAAUGGGCGCAAGCCUGAACCAGCCAUGCCGCGUGCAGGAUGAAGGCUCUCUGAGUUGUAAACUGCUUUUGUACAGGAGCAAAAAAAUCCCUGCGGGGGUUCUUGAGAGUACUGUAAGAAUAAGCACCGGCUAAUUCCGUGCCAGCAGCCGCGGUAAUACGGGAGGUGCAAGCGUUAUCCGGUUUUAUUGGGUUUAAAGGGUGCGUAGGCGGCUUAUUAAGUCAGUUGUGAAAUCCUAGUGCUUAACGCUAGAACUGCGAUUGAUACUAUUAGGCUUGAGUUAAAGAAGAAGU
rnacentral:rRNA from 1 species